rnacentral:rRNA from 1 species
UACGUAGGGGGCUAGCGUUGUCCGGAAUCAUUGGGCGUAAAGCGCGUGUAGGCGGCCCGGUAAGUCCGCUGUGAAAGUCGGGGGCUCAACCCUCGAAAGCCGGUGAAUACUGUCGGGCUAGAGUGCGGAAGAGGCGAGUGGAAUUCCUGGUGUAGCGGUGAAAUGCGCAGAUAUCAGGAGGAACACCGAUUGCGAAGGCAGCUCGCUGGGACGUUACUGACGCUGAGACGCGAAAGCGUGGGGAGCAAACAGG